rnacentral:rRNA from 1 species
UACGUAGGGAGCAAGCGUUGUUCGGAAUUACUGGGCGUAAAGGGCUUGUAGGCGGCCAACUAAGUCCGACGUGAAAUCCCCAGGCUUAACCUGGGAACUGCGUCGGAUACUGGAUGGCUUGAAUCCGGGAGAGGGAUGCGGAAUUCCAGGUGUAGCGGUGAAAUGCGUAGAUAUCUGGAGGAACACCGGUGGCGAAGGCGGCAUCCUGGACCGGCAUUGACGCUGAAAAGCGAAAGCUAGGGGAGCAAACGGG